ACCCUGGAGGGGACAAGGUUGAAUGUGGGCGGAGAGAUGGUCAUCUCCAAGAUCAGUUCCAUUUCAUACCUGUUGAUGUGGAGAUGAUUAUUUGCCUCCAAGUGGACAUGGAAAGGACGCAUUUGACAUCACGUUUGGAUCCAGGGGCUGACACUGCGUCACAGGAGCCGAUUGUCCACAUCUCUCCCCAAAUCUACAUUCAGUGACAUCCUGAUAUUGACCAUGAGUCUCCUCAAUUCUCCUCCACCUUGUGUAAGAAGUAGCUGUGGGAUUAUAAAAUACAUAGUGACUAUGGGAGCCAGUCUCUAUGUUACCGCCAAUGAUCCUUGCCUCCUGGUAUUCACCCUCAUGUGUAGUCCCCCUCCUGAUACAGCAGCAUAACUAAUUAGACCUGUGUAACUAAUAGGAUAUUCCUAAAGCUAAAUAAAAAACAUGUGCAGCCAUGUAGGUGUGCCAUCGUGGAAGCAGAUCCUCUAGCCCCAGUUGAGCCUUCAGAUGACGGCAGCCCCAAAUGACAUCUUGACUUCAACCUCAUGAGACACCCUGAGCCAGAGCUAAACUGCUCCUGAAUUGCUGACUCACAGAAACUGUGAAUUAAUAAAUAUUUAUUGUUGGUUUAAGCCACCAA